ensembl:snoRNA small nucleolar RNA SNORA42/SNORA80 family
ACAUGGGUUUGGAUUUAUGGCAGGCCCAUCCCCUUGGGUCUUUCAUAGUGCCCCAUGCCAGAGCAAACUGGCUUGAACCAUUGCCUGGCCUCAGCCGAUAGGCUGCAGGAACAAAACAAGACAUGAAUU